GAGGACCUCUGGCGGCGCGCCUAACACAUGCAAGUCGAACGAGCGAGAGAGAGCUUGCUUUCUCAAGCGAGUGGCGAACGGGUGAGUAACGCGUGAGGAACCUGCCUCAAAGAGGGGGACAACAGUUGGAAACGACUGCUAAUACCGCAUAAGCCCACGACCCGGCAUCGGGUAGAGGGAAAAGGAGCAAUCCGCUUUGAGAUGGCCUCGCGUCCGAUUAGCUAGUUGGUGAGGUAAUGGCCCACCAAGGCGACGAUCGGUAGCCGGACUGAGAGGUUGAACGGCCACAUUGGGACUGAGACACGGCCCAGACUCCUACGGGAGGCAGCAGUGGGGAAUAUUGCACAAUGGGGGAAACCCUGAUGCAGCGACGCCGCGUGGAGGAAGAAGGUCUUCGGAUUGUAAACUCCUGUUGUUGAGGAAGAUAAUGACGGUACUCAACAAGGAAGUGACGGCUAACUACGUGCCAGCAGCCGCGGUAAAACGUAGGUCACAAGCGUUGUCCGGAAUUACUGGGUGUAAAGGGAGCGCAGGCGGGAAGACAAGUUGGAAGUGAAAUCCAUGGGCUCAACCCAUGAACUGCUUUCAAAACUGUUUUUCUUGAGUAGUGCAGAGGUAGGCGGAAUUCCCGGUGUAGCGGUGGAAUGCGUAGAUAUCGGGAGGAACACCAGUGGCGAAGGCGGCCUACUGGGCACCAACUGACGCUGAGGCUCGAAAGUGUGGGUAGCAAACAGAAGUAGAUACCCUGGUAGUCCACACUGUAAACGAUCAUUAAUGGGUGUUGGAGGAUUGACCCCUUCAGUGCCGCAGUUAACACAAUAAGUAAAUCCACCUGGGGAGUACGCCCGCAAGGGUGGAAAUUCAAAGGAAAUAACGGGGGGGCCCGCACAAGCAGUGGAGUAUGUGGUUUAAUUUGGACGCAACGCGAAGAACCUUACCAAGUCUUGACAUCCUGCGACGAUGCUGGAAACAGUAUUUUCCUUCGGGACGCAGAGACAGGUGGUGCAUGGUUGUCGUCAGCUCGUGUCGUGAGAUGUUGGGUUAAGUCCCGCAACGAGCGCAACCCUUAUGGUCAGUUACUACGCAAGAGGACUCUGGCCAGACUGCCGUUGACAAAACGGAGGAAGGUGGGGAUGACGUCAAAUCAUCAUGCCCUUUAUGACUUGGGCUACACACGUACUACAAUGGCGUUAAACAAAGAGAAGCAAGACCGCGAGGUGGAGCAAAACUCAGAAACAACGUCCCAGUUCGGACUGCAGGCUGCAACUCGCCUGCACGAAGUCGGAAUUGCUAGUAAUCGCAGAUCAGCAUGCUGCGGUGAAUACGUUCCCGGGCCUUGCACU
rnacentral:rRNA from 1 species